rnacentral:misc_RNA from 1 species
GAUGAAGAACGCAGCAAAAUGCGAUAAGUAAUGUGAAUUGCAGAAUUCAGUGAAUCAUCGAAUCUUUGAACGCACAUUGCGCCCGCUGGUAUUCCGGCGGGCAUGCCUGUUCGAGCGUCAUUUCAACCCUCAAGCCCCCGGGUUUGGUGUUGGGGAUCGGCUCUGCCCUUCUGGGCGGUGCCGCCCCCGAAAUACAUUGGCGGUCUCGCUGCAGCCUCCAUUGCGUAGUAGCUAACACCUCGCAACUGGAACGCGGCGCGGCCAUGCCGUAAAUCCCCAACUUCUGAAUGUUGACCUCGGAUCAGGUAGGAAUACCCGCUGAACUUAAGCAUAUCAAUAAGCGGAGGA